AUGCACGCUGGCGGCGUGCCUAAUACCUGCAAGUCGAGCGCACGGACGAGAAGCUUGCUUCUCUGAUGUUAGCGGCGGACGGGUGAGUAACACGUGGAUAACCUACCUAUAAGACUGGGAUAACUUCGGGAAACCGUAGCUAAUACCGGAUAAUAUUUUGAACCGCAUGGUUCAAAAGUGAAAGACGGUCUUGCUGUCACUUAUAGAUGGAUCCGCGCUGCAUUAGCUAGUUGGUAAGGUAACGGCUUACCAAGGCAACGAUGCAUAGCCGACCUGAGAGGGUGAUCGGCCACACUGGAACUGAGACACGGUCCAGACUCCUACGGGAGGCAGCAGUAGGGAAUCUUCCGCAAUGGGCGAAAGCCUGACGGAGCAACGCCGCGUGAGUGAUGAAGGUCUUCGGAUCGUAAAACUCUGUUAUUAGGGAAGAACAUAUGUGUAAGUAACUGUGCACAUCUUGACGGUACCUAAUCAGAAAGCCACGGCUAACUACGUG
rnacentral:rRNA from 1 species